CCCUUAGAUGUUCUGGGCCGCACGCGCGCUACACUGACGAAUGCAACGAGCUUAUAACCUUGGCCGAAAGGUCUGGGUAAUCUCCAAAUUUCGUCGUGAUGGGGAUAGAUUAUUGCAAUUAUUAAUCUUCAACGAGGAAUGCCUAGUAAGCGCAAGUCAUCAGCUUGCGUUGAUUACGUCCCUGCCCUUUGUACACACCGCCCGUCGCUCCUACCGAUUGAAUGGUCCGGUGAAGCGUUCGGACCGUGGCCUUUGGACGGUUCGCCGUCUGUUGGCUGCGGGAAGUUCGUUAAACCUUAUCGUUUAGAGGAAGGAGAAGUCGUANCA
rnacentral:rRNA from 1 species